GAUGAACGCUAGCUACAGGCUUAACACAUGCAAGUCGAGGGGGAACGACAUCGAAAGCUUGCUUUUGAUGGGCGUCGACCGGCGCACGGGUGAGUAACGCGUAUCCAACCUGCCCACCACUUGGGGAUAACUUUGCGAAAGUAAGACUAAUACCCAAUGACGUCUCUAGAAGACAUCUGAAAGAGAUUAAAGAUUUAUCGGUGAUGGAUGGGGAUGCGUCUGAUUAGCUUGUUGGCGGGGUAACGGCCCACCAAGGCGACGAGCAGUAGGGGUUCUGAGAGGAAGGGCCCCCACAUUGGAACUGAGACACGGUCCAAACUCCUACGGGAGGCAGCAGUGAGGAAUAUUGGUCAAUGGACGAGAGUCUGAACCAGCCAAGUAGCGUGCAGGAUGAUGGCCCUAUGGGUUGUAAACUGCUUUUAUAAGGGAAUAAAGUGAGAGUCGUGACUCUUUUUGCAUGUACCUUAUGAAUAAGGACCGGCUAAUUCCGUGCCAGCCGCCGCGGUAA
rnacentral:rRNA from 1 species